rnacentral:rRNA from 1 species
GAUGAACGCUGGCGGCGUGCCUAAUACAUGCAAGUCGAGCGAACAGACGAGGAGCUUGCUCCUCUGACGUUAGCGGCGGACGGGUGAGUAACACGUGGAUAACCUACCUAUAAGACUGGGAUAACUUCGGGAAACCGAAGCUAAUACCGGAUAAUAUAUUGAACCGCAUGGUUCAAUAGUGAAAGACGGUUUUGCUGUCACUUAUAGAUGGAUCCGCGCCGCAUUAGCUAGUUGGUAAGGUAACGGCUUACCAAGGCAACGAUGCGUAGCCGACCUGAGAGGGUGAUCGGCCACACUGGAACUGAGACACGGUCCAGACUCCUACGGGAGGCAGCAGUAGGGAAUCUUCCGCAAUGGGCGAAAGCCUGACGGAGCAACGCCGCGUGAAUGAUGAAGGUCUUCGGAUCGUAAAACUCUGUUAUUAGGGAAGAACAAAUGUGUAAGUAACUAUGCACGUCUUGACGGUACCUAAUCAGAAAGCCACGGCUAACUACGUG